CCAAAGCUUACUUAAUUGUCUAUAAUUCCAACUGAUGCAAAUUCUUCUACAUUGUUAUUAAUCUUAAUAGCUUUCGCUUUUCUUAAUUUGCCAAAGCUUACUUAUUGUCUAUAAUUCCAACUGAUGCAAAUUCUUCUACAUUGUUAUUAAUCUUAAUAGCUUUCGCUUUUCUUAAUUUGCCAAAGCUUACUUAUUAUCUAUAAUUCCAACUGAUGCAAAUUCUUCUACCAUUGAUCAGUAAUUGUUCUUCAAUCUUAUUUGCAAAUUUUUACUUAACUUUAGCAACUCAACUUUGUUAAUUUGUUAUUUGAUAUCUCAGAAUAUGUUUGAUUACAAGAUGUUCCUCCAGUGGGAUGUAUAAACUCCAUGAGAAUCUGUGGAUAAUUCAAAUAUUGAGACAGAAGGUCCUUUUUUUACAGGAAGAAGUUAGACUAUGUCCAUCUUGACAAAUUUUGAAUGUCAUGAUGAGGUGUAAGGCGGUAACAUUUGUUUCAAGCGAGCCUCUGCCUCCUGAGUUCUCAUAUGUUCUUGAAUUUAGGGAAGUAAAGUAUAAUCUAUAUAGCCACAGUUUUCUUCAUCUUGGACAGGAAUAUGUGGCUGGCUAUGUCGACUACUGAGCAUGAGGAGAUGAAGAAAGAACAAGGAUAUAAUAAUUUUAUUUGAGCAUAAAGGCAAUUAUAAAAGGAUGUAUUGUGCUUUGCACUAUGUUUUGUUAAACUUUUUUUUUAUUAUUGACUUAUUUUCUUAUUACUAAAUUUAAAUUUUUGCUGACCAUAUGUGCUAACCAUGCGCUAUUUGUUAGGCUAUAUGUAAAUUGUUGGGCCAUAUGAGCUCACCAUAUUGGAUGCUUGAACUUUUUUUAAGGAU